AUAAAUGACACUGUAGACAUUUUUAUAUUUGUUAAAUUACAAAAGGCAGAUAUGGGGGAAGAAGAGGUGGAGACAAUAAAUGAACUCCUUUUACAUCCUCUUAUACAAUUUCCUGCUGGAAUGGUUUUGCCAGGGUAGAUGAGAAAGAUCUUUUAUUAACAGCACCUGAUGUGGGGAGGAGCAGAAAUCAGAGCCAAGCAAGUGAGCAGAGCAACCCCAGGACACUGAGAAGAGAUGCAGAUUUCUGACUUUCUCCUUAAGCAAGAGACUCACUGCUGCUCAGCAUGGCUCAGACCAAUACAUUCUUCAUGCUGAUCUCCUGCCUGAUGUUCCUGUCUCUGAGCCAAGGAUAGGAUGGCCAGACAGAGUUGCCCAAGUCCCGGGUCAGCUGCCCAGAAGGCAACAAUGCCUAUGGCUCCUACUGCUACUACUUUAAUGAAGACCUUGAGACCUGGGUUGAUGCAGAUGUGGCUCUACUGCCAGAAUACGAAUUCGGGUAACCUGGUGUCUGCGCUCACUGAGGCUGAGGGUGCCUUCGUGGCUUCGCUGAUUAAAGAGGGUGGCACCAAGGAUUGCAAUGUCUGGAUUGGCUUCCAUGACUCCCACUGGGCCAGUCUGCUGCAUCUUCUACCUCCUUAUUAUCAGGUUUCAGAGGGAAGAAGGAGGUGUGAUGUCUGGCACCGCAAACACCAGUUUUUACCAUACUAUGAUAAAAGCAACCUCUCUAUAAAUCCUAUAAUGUACAGGAUAUUAAGUUUCUCUAUAGGUCCUUAGAGAUAAGCUUAAAACUGAAUAUCCUCUGUGUUUCAGACAUUCACAGUAAACUCAUUUUGUCUACUUCUAGGGUAGCAUCUUUAUAUAUCUGUUAUGCACCUCUUAUCUAUUGUGUUAUCAUCUUGUAAACCAUAUAGAGAAAGGUAAUAGAGGAGGAGAAUGUGCUGCUUGUAUUUGGGAAACUCAAGGUAUACUAAAUAAUAUAUCAACAACUAAUGGCCAUCCAAUGCUAUGCUGGAUAUGAACUUUCGGGGCCUCAGGAAAGAAAAAUCAGGAACCAGUUUCAAUAAUGAUGUUUUAUGGUUCUCUGUGUCAUAUUUAGAACACUUACUGUUUGGCAGGACACAGAGAGGUAGGUGAAGAUUCCAGGAAAGGAGAAGCUUAGAGAAAAUGUGGAGGAAAUGUGUGACACUCAGAGAUAAAGCAAGGUUUAUCCUUGCCUUAUGUCUUGACCGGUUUCUGAAUCAAGAAACACAAGUCAAACACAAAUCAGGUGUUUCUUUCUCUUUCUGAGUCUCGUCCGCCCCUGCCCUGGCCCUUCUCCAUCUAGAACCACCACUGGCACUGGAGCAGUGGGUCCCUGGUCUCCUACAAAUCCUGGGACACUGGAGCCCCAAGCUGUGCCAGUAUUGCCUGUUGUGCAAGCCUGACUUCAAGCUCAGGUGAGAGGUACAGCAACCUCACACUUACUGCCAUCCUAUCCUAUUUGUCUCAGGAUUGACCUGGGGACUGCAAUAGAGGAAAGGUGAGCUCCGCAUUCAGGAAAUAGAGGAGCGUUUCCUCUUGACUUUUCCUGAGUUCUGCAGCCUAGAGGGUAACACAUUCUGAUCCCCUCAGUUUGAAUCUUCUCAUUGGCUUAUAGGAUUCAAUAAAUGGAAGAAUGAUUCUUGUAAGGAGACGUUCUCCUUUGUUUGCAAGUUCAAAAACUAGAGGUGGCUGCAAAGUGGAUGUCUAGAGUAUGUCUACUAAUUACUAUGGAGUAAAAGAAUUAAACUGGACCAUCUCAUCUCUCUCCAAAUCAAUCCAGACCAUCUCUUCUCUUCUGAAUUUGCAUCACUGACCUGUAGUAUCUUUACCUACCCCAGUUGCGGGGGUCCUAAAGAAUAAAAAUAAACAUGUUUCCCCCAUGUCUGUGUCUGCUAUUUCCCCACCUAAUGCCUGGGGUGGUGUUGCCUACUUGUUAGAUGCCC